CUUCUUUGAAAUAACUUCUUGAUAAAUGAGGAAAUGACGUGGUUUAUACAAUGGAGAUUCUAAAGGCGAUUUUUUCUUCAAUAAUUUGUACUUCUGAUGGAGCUUUAUUAUGUGACGUUAUGUAAUGUUAUUGUUAUGGCGGUCCAUUGGUUGAUUAUGGUGUUCCUCUUGUUACUCCUUUGCUACAUCGCAAAAUAUACUUUAGCUGAAUUUUUCUAUAAAAAAAAUCUUAAAAUGUUGUGCUGAUCAAUUAGUAGUUUCAACUGUUCCAUAGCAAACCCGGGCUGCUGGCCAGCAAAUAUCACCAUUACAAAAACCUUUUUGCAGUCCACAGGAUUUUUGAAUUUCCUCAUUUUGGGCCACAAAUUAGUUUUCCUUGUGAAUUUCAGGAGGAUUCGUUUUAUUUGAUGAGCUAUUUAUUAUCCUUGAAUAUAUUUUUAUAUAUGAAGUUCAUCAAUACGUUACUUAAGUUAAUAUAAUUAACUUUCUAGUGUUGGAACGACAGCAAAAACAUCAAACUAGCGCGGCGGGGGGAUCUAGAAUUUUUUCCUCAGUUCAGGCUGCACUGAGAAGUGAGACGGGAACGAGACCAGAAAUGGGACGGAAAACAGAAAAUUUAAAAAAUUUAAAUACGGGUACGGCAUGAAAACAGCAACCACGAUAUAAGAAAAUAUAAAAAUAUCCAUAAGUCAAAACAUAUAUAUCAAGUGAAAUCAGAAACAUAUGAAACUUUAGUAUUCAAACGUGACAUACGUCCACAACAAAAACAUAUGAUACAUAAUGUCAACUUAUCAACACACAAAUGAUACAAAACACACAAAUAAAAAAAAACUCAGAAACAUUGUAUAUGAAAUAUGAUUCAAACAUAAACAACAAAAAUAUGAAAAUCAGAAGUUCCAAUUAAGACAGAGAGACAAAAGGAAGGAAGAUGCAUAUGUAUAAUGUAUUGUUGCUUGCUGAUGAGCGACGUCGCAGGGAGAAAUUACGAACCUUGACACAAAGACAUGAGGUUACGUUUUCAAAGAGAAAGAAAUUAGUGAUAACCAAACUCUUUUUUUUCUAAUUAUUACCUCUUUUAGUCUUUUCAGAAUUAAUAACAAAUUAUAAACAAAUAUCUAUCUAUCUAUCUAUACUAAUAAAGGACAGUUUUCUCUCACCUUAGCUCUCCACAUCAUUUUCCUAUAUGGGGCAUUUCUGGACACGUGGCAGACUAAAAAUUUUCGGUUUCGAAUGUUUUGUUAUGGCAUUUGGGUUUUUAAAAUAUGUUUUGUUCAGGCCCAUUGAAGUGUAGGGUUUACCUCAUUUUCUGAACUUGGAUUUUCACAGCUCAGCUGCCGACUGAUUCAAAUAACGUCGCCGAUCAACUCUCCGUAACGUCCUCCACUCUCAUUAAUAUGUACUUUAAACCGAGAUUUAACGUGAUGUACUUUACUCUCAAGCUUUCAAUCGAGCUUAUCAUCUCCUUGCUAACCGAUGGACGCUGCGAUUAUAAAUCUCCAAGCUCCCAGCAAUGAACAACACAACCUCAACGAAAUAAUAUUGUUUUCGUAUGGCUCAUUGAGAGGCUUCCCGACAAUGUCAGGUGGUUCUAAGACGACGGAUCUGUUCUUAUAUGUUUGAGAUCCUCUUAACUUGCUCAAAAAUUGCUUCCCCUAGAGCUUUGGUUUCUAUGACGAAUGUUUGAGGAAGUACGGGAAUGCAAAUGUCUGGGAGUAUUUCACUGAAGUUUUUGAUUAUCUUCCUCUUAUUGUCCUCAUGGAGAGUCAGGUAUGAGCUCUUCUUCAAGCUGGUAUUUUAGACGUAAUUCUUAAUAGCACCAUUUGACCAUCAUUUUUUUUUUAUCAUUUACAUGUUUUCUGUUUGCAUGGAUUACAUUUUUCACAUAUUCUUGUGGUGAUGGGAAGACAGAGAGCAAAAAGAUGCUCAUUCAGUUGCCUACAUUGGGAUAAUUGUCAAGAGCGAAGGACGAACGUACAAACCAUGGAGCAACAAGUAUGAGUAAUUGAUAGGUUUCAAAAAAAAAAGAUAGGUUUCAGUUCGCAGGAAGAACAGAGCAACGAGGAUGAUGGAGGCUUGGGGGAGAAGAAACAUACGAGACAAGGUUGGUCAACGUGGAUAGAAAAGACUCUGAGUGGAAAAGUCUUUGCUAAUUCUUAACUGCCAUAUAAAUAAGACGCCUAGAUUCUCAUUUUUGUAAACGUUUCGGAGUGCGAUUUGAAUAAGAUCUUUAGCUUCUUAA